CCCCUCUCAAGAUGACACCUAGAGAGUUUCCAGUACUCUACCAGUUUUGGCUAUGGGAGGGAGAGUCAAGCAGAGGCAUAACCAUUCCUUUCCUAGCUUGGGCAGUGGCUAGCGAGUGGAAGGCAAUCUGCUACAAGU